GACGAACGCUGGCGGCGUGCUUAACACAUGCAAGUCGAACGGAAAGGCCCUGCUUUUGUGGGGUGCUCGAGUGGCGAACGGGUGAGUAACACGUGAGUAACCUGCCCUUGACUUUGGGAUAACUUCAGGAAACUGGGGCUAAUACCGGAUAGGAGCUCCUGCUGCAUGGUGGGGGUUGGAAAGUUUCGGCGGUUGGGGAUGGACUCGCGGCUUAUCAGCUUGUUGGUGGGGUAGUGGCUUACCAAGGCUUUGACGGUAGCCGGCCUGAGAGGGUGACCGGCCACAUUGGGACUGAGAUACGGCCCAGACUCCUACGGGAGGCAGCACUGGGGAAUAUUGCACAAUGGGCGGAAGCCUGAUGCAGCAACGCCGCGUGCGGGAUGACGGCCUUCGGGUUGUAAACCGCUUUCGCCUGUGACGAAGCGUGAGUGACGGUAAUGGGUAAAGAAGCACCGGCUAACUACGUG
rnacentral:rRNA from 1 species